AGCGCAGGGAAGGGCAGAGGUUGGAGGAGCCAGUCCAACCAGUCAGAGCCCAGUUGUGCCUCCCAGUUGUGCUCACUCAGCACCUGGGGCUGUUCCCAGCCACACAAACCCGGCGUGAGCAGAGCUCAGCACUGCCCAGGGCCUGCACACUGCCAGGGGCUCACACACCAUCAGCCUCGGGGUCACAGCGAUCCACAGGCCAUGGAAAUGUCCUGCAGGCCCCAGGCUGAGCUUCCUGCAGCAGCGCAGAGGGCUGGGCUGGGUGCGGGUGCUGGAUCACCCCAGUCACAGAAUCGGCGCCCAAACCCCGCAGAUCAGCAGCAGCAGGGCCACAGAGCAGCCCCCACAGGGCCCUGGAUCGCAGCUGUGCCCUGCAGGGACCCAGAGCCUCCUUCCCCCGGGCAGGGCAGGGCACCCAUCUCCCUCGGGUUUAUUGCAGCUCCCUGCGGUCGCACUAAGCAGCUUUGGGGCACCGAGAUCCAGCGACAGCACAACACGUGGACAGCGCGGCCAGGAAACCCUUGUGGAAGCCUUGGGAACGUACAAGUGGCCCUGGGUACCUGCAGGCUCAGCAGGAGGAGCAGCCAAGGAGCACCUGAGGAGUUUCUGCUGGGGACACACACAUACACACAGACCCAGCUCUGAUGCAGAAAAUCCCAUAAUCACCCUCAGCUGCCAAGGAACAGCAUCAGCUCAGGCGCACGGCACUGACCUCAGCAAGGGCUGUGUCAUAAUCCGUUUUUCAGACUGGCCACAACUUCCAGUGCGAGGCAGAGCUGACAAAGGCAGAAGGGCAAAUCCUGGAGCCCAGCUGGCCGAGGCUGAGGGCGGCCAGGUAGGGAUGAAUGGGGCCAGUGCCCUCCCCCCUGCUCCAAGGACGUGGCAAAGUCGGUGCCUGGCCCCGGGUGAGAGUGGCCUUGAAGGGAACGCUGCAACUAUUCAUGAAUUAACUUUCUGUUAUUAUUUGGUGCUCGGGGAGCUCCUGGCUCUGCAGACCCAGCAGGAACCCCCGGCCUUGCUGGGGCAGAGGGGAGGAGGUGAGCACCCAAACUGCAGCCGUGGAGCUGGGGGAUUACAGCUGGGAAAGAAUUGCUGGUUUGAAUUGCUAAUAAUGAUACAGACUAAUGAGCAACAUCAGAAAUGAUGGCAUGUGCAAUCAGUGCUGCUUGAUGGCAAACACAGAGCGGGGCUGCAGGAGCUGCUGGGGCGAGGGAACAGGAGCAUCCUUCAGAGGGGCAGCACCCACCCCAGGCAGGGCACUGCCAUGGAGCUGGCUCUGGCUACAGGGGAAAGACUUUAUAAAUAAUGAUGGAAAGAGUAACCAGAGACAGACGUCAGCUCUGGGUACACGGAGGGAACACGGCCAGCAAGUGUUGGAGGGGAAAUCACCUUGGUGGGUUCCCAGCAGCCGUGGGAAGCCCAUCUGCCCCUGGCUGUUGGAGGUUUUGUGUCACAGCUGCCCCCCAGCAGCCCCACCGGGGAUCAGGGACACGGGGGAUGGAGCCCCCAGCCAAAUCCUCCUCUGAGAGCCCAGCACCGACUGCUGAUGCUCGGCAGAGAAAGAGCAGCCCGAGUUCUUGGCCAGGUGUGCGGUGAAGGGCAGGGAUGUGUCUGUGCCCCGUCCCUGCCUGAUCCUCCAGCAAGGAACUGCCCGGGGCCGCCCCACUGCUCUGGCGGCUCCAAAGGCAGCGCUUGGCUCCUGCUCCUUUCGCUGGAAUCCCUUUUCCUUGCCUCAUCCCUGCGAUAUGCCCCAGCCAGUCAGCACGAGGCAACAGUUGGAAAUGCUUCCCACUUUCCUUAUUUAGGCUGUUUUAUGUGGUUCAAAUAAGGUGUCCUCUUUGGGCCUGACAAAGAGAAAGAUGUAUCAGUUCAUGAACUGCUGCUGCCUGAGCAAGGUAAGAGACAGAAAAUCACCACCAUUACCAUCAUUAUUGUGAAUCAUGUGCAAUCAGCCCCGUAACAGAAAGCAGAUGAAGAUCCUACAGGAACCUGAAAGACGGGAGCUGCUGCUGAGCCACGGGAGCCAGGGGCCAGGCAGUGAUUAAAAUGCUUUUAAUAUUGGUUUUCAGUGUUGUUUCACUUUAUAUAUAUAUAUAUAUAUAUAUAUAUAUAUAUUUAUUUAUUUAUUUAUUUAUUUAUACACA
ensembl:lncRNA